AGUUCAUAUUUUUGCACCAAAUGGCAAAAAUAUCGGUUGAAACUGCGAGCGAAGAAAUUGGUUCCUCAGUUUAAUCGAUAAAAAUAGAAGACGCAUAAAGGAAAAGAAUGCAGGAGUGAUUAAAGAACUUAACAACUAACAUGACUGCUUAUGGACUCAAGUUCCAGUUAACACGAUGAUACGAAAUACAAUGUCCUACUAUCACAAAAGAAACAAAUGUAUGUAAAGGCAAAUGAAUGUAAAGAAGAACUUUCAGUGCAGGAAUUUGCAGUUCGACUUGCAAAGCACUUCACAUUGCUUUACCAGCAGGAAUCACAGUCAUCUCAGUACUAGGAACGUGAUGCGAGCACAGAUGCAGGUGGACUAUUUUAGCCAAUAAGCUAUACUUUGUUGUGAAGAACUUCAAUUAUAGUGUAUAGAUGUCGCAGUUAAUCACUCGUCGUCGGAAUGUGACCAAUGCGCCUCCCGCAUUAUCAGCAUCUACUGCUCCAACCGUGAGUGCUUCAUUGAUUAGGGAGCCUACACCCUUUGCUAAGGCCACUCCUACGGCGUCCCAGGUGCUCGUAUCAUUGACGUCAUCAGUGUUGGUUGAGCAGCUCAGUGCACGGCGGCCGCCUCGCCCUGUCGAUACCUAGUAGCUUGAUGUAUUAAACCUAGUUCACUUGUAGUUUUUUCUUUUUUGUUCGGAUCUUGUAUGUACAUUUUCAUAUAUUUUAUAAUUAAAUACUUUU